rnacentral:lncRNA from 1 species
GACCUCAGAUGAAACCAAACCUGCUGAUACCUUUAAUGCUCUUGGCCUUGCCAGCCUCCAGAACUGUGAGAAAAUUGAUUUCCGUUAAGCCACUUAGUCUGUGGUAUUGCAUCAGGGCAGCCCUAGCAGACUAAUACAGGUGGAACCCAGAGGAAGGAGAGGUUGGCCCCUGAAUUGACUGCGAUGAACCUUCCACCACCCUGGCAGAAUGGGGGAUUGAAACAGAAUUUUAGUUGAGUUACAGAAAGAUAAAGAACGUUCCAUGUCUUGCAUCUGUGAAUACGGCCUGAGAUUGGCAUUUGCAGAGUAAUGAUCAUAUCUUUGGUCCAAGAGGUUCAAUCCCAAGGACAGGCAGAGGAGUACGGAUUAUCGGCCAAAAUUUGAGUCAACUGGGGCAGAGGAGCCAGGCACAGGCAGGAGGGAGGACCUGGAGCCAGCUUGACUGAGGAAGCCAGCUGCCGUGAGAAAAGGCCCAUAUGGCGAGCCUCUGAGUAUGCCAACGGUAUAUGAGUGAGCCACCUUGGAGGUGACUCUUCAAGCCUUCAGAUGUUUACAGUUCCUGCUGACAUCCUUACUGCAAGCCCAUGAGCCAUCCUGAGCUAGAACCAGCCAGCCAAAGUGGCUCCUGAAUGCCUGACCCACAGAAACUGAGAGAUAUUA